rnacentral:rRNA from 1 species
AACAAACGCUGGCGGCGUGCCUAAUACAUGCAAGUCGAACGGGGAAAGCUUUCGGGUGAGCACUAGUGGCGCACGGGUGAGUAACGCGUGGAUAAUCUGCCUUAGAGUGGGGGAUAACUAGUCGAAAGAUUAGCUAAUACCGCAUAAGACCACAAGAACUGCGGUUCAAGGGGUCAAAGGUUUUUCGCUCUAAGAUGAGUCCGCGUAAGAUUAGCUAGUGGGUAGGGUAACGGCCUACCAAGGCGACGAUCUUUAACUGGGCUGAGAGGAUGAUCAGUCACACUGGAACUGAGACACGGUCCAGACUCCUACGGGAGGCAGCAGUAGGGAAUAUUGCACAAUGGAGGAAACUCUGAUGCAGCGACGCCGCGUGAGUGAUGAAGGCCUUCGGGUCGUAAAGCUCUGUCGCAGGGGAAUAACACAAUGAAGGUACCCUGUAAGAAAGGAUCGGCUAACUUCGUGCCAGCCGCCGCGGUAAUAC